CCUACGGGUGGCAGCAGUAGGGAAUUUUCGUCAAUGGGCGCAAGCCUGAACGAGCAAUGCCGCGUGAACGAGGAAGGUCUUCUGAUCGUUAAGUUCUGUUGAUGGGGAAAAAGAGCGGAGAGAGGAAAUUGUUUCUGAUUGAUAUUACCCUUCGAGGAAGUCACGGCUAACUACGUGCCAGCAGCCGCGGUAAUACGUAGGUGGCAAGCGUUGUCCGGAUUUAUUGGGCGUAAAGCGAGUGCAGGCGGUUCAAUAAGUCUGAUGUGAAAGUCUUCGGCUCAACCGGAGAAUUGCAUUAGAAACUGUUGAACUUGAGUGCAGAAGAGGAGAGUGGAAUGCGAUGUGUAGCGGUGGAAUGCAUAGAUAUAUGGAAGAACACCAGUGGCGAAGGCGGCUCUCUGGUCUGCAACUGACGCUGAGGCUCGAAAGCAUGGGUAGCGAACAGGAUUAGAUACCCGGGUAGUC
rnacentral:rRNA from 1 species